GCGCAGCAGGCGAGAAAACCUCCGCAAUGCGGGAAACCGCGACGGGGGACCCCGAGUGCCGUGGCAAUGCUACGGCUUUUCCGGAGUGUAAAAAGCUCCGGGAAUAAGGGCUGGGCAAGGCCGGUGGCAGCCGCCGCGGUAAUACCGGCGGCCCGAGUGGUGGCCGCUAUUAUUGGGCCUAAAGCGUCCGUAGCCGGGCCGUAAGUCCCUGGCGAAAUCCCACGGCUCAACCGUGGGGCUUGCUGGGGAUACUGCGGGUCUUGGGACCGGGAGAGGCGAGGGGUACCCCUGGGGUAGGGGUGAAAUCCUAUAA
rnacentral:rRNA from 1 species